UGGGGAAUAUUGCACAAUGGGCGCAAGCCUGAUGCAGCCAUGCCGCGUGUGUGAAGAAGGCCUUCGGGUUGUAAAGCACUUUCAGCGAGGAGGAAGGCAUUAAGGUUAAUAACCUUAGUGAUUGACGUUACUCGCAGAAGAAGCACCGGCUAACUCCGUGCCAGCAGCCGCGGUAAUACGGAGGGUGCAAGCGUUAAUCGGAAUUACUGGGCGUAAAGCGCACGCAGGCGGUUUGUUAAGUCAGAUGUGAAAUCCCCGAGCUUAACUUGGGAGCUGCAUUUGAAACUGGCAAGCUAGAGUCUUGUAGAGGGGGGUAGAAUUCCAGGUGUAGCGGUGAAAUGCGUAGAGAUCUGGAGGAAUACCGGUGGCGAAGGCGGCCCCCCUGGACAAAGACUGACGCUCAGGUGCGA
rnacentral:rRNA from 1 species